rnacentral:tRNA from 1 species
GCUUAAUUAGUUUAUUUAGAAUAAUAAUUUGUGGAAUUAUGGGAGGUAAUUUUAUCAUUAAGUC